rnacentral:rRNA from 1 species
UACGUAGGGUGCAAGCGUUGUCCGGAAUUAUUGGGCGUAAAGAGCUCGUAGGCGGUCUGUCGCGUCGGCUGUGAAAUCCCGAGGCUCAACCUCGGGUCUGCAGUCGAUACGGGCAGACUAGAGUUCGGUAGGGGAGUCUGGAAUUCCUGGUGUAGCGGUGAAAUGCGCAGAUAUCAGGAGGAACACCGGUGGCGAAGGCGGGACUCUGGGCCGAUACUGACGCUGAGGAGCGAAAGCGUGGGGAGCGAACAGG